rnacentral:hammerhead_ribozyme from 1 species
AUCCAGCUGGCGAGUCCCAAAUAGGACGAAAUGCGCCUUAUCCUGGAU